rnacentral:tRNA from 1 species
GGUCUUUUCGUAUAAUGGCAGUACAGCUGCUCUUCACGUAGCAAGUGUCAGUUCAAGUCUGAUAAAUACUA